rnacentral:rRNA from 1 species
GAUUCUGGCUCAGGAUGAACGCUAGCGGCAGGCUUAACACAUGCAAGUCGAGGGGCAGCGCGGGGUAGCAAUACUCUGGCGGCGACCGGCGAAAGGGUGAGUAACGCGUGAGCAACAUGCCCGAUAGAGGGGGAUAGUCAUUGGAAACGAUGCGUAAUACCCCGUAACAUUUGGAACCGCAUGAUUCUGAAUUGAAAGAUUUAUUGCUAUCGGAUUGGCUCGCGUACCAUUAGCUAGUUGGCGGGGUAACGGCCCACCAAGGCGACGAUGGUUAGGGGUUCUGAGAGGAAGGUCCCCCACAUUGGAACUGAGACACGGUCCAGACUCCUACGGGAGGCAGCAGUGAGGAAUAUUGGACAAUGGCCGAGAGGCUGAUCCAGCCAUGCCGCGUGCCGGGAGGACGGCCCUAUGGGUUGUAAACCGCUUUUGUUGGGGAGCAAUAAGUCUUACGUGUAAGAUGAUGAGAGUACCCAGCGAAUAAGCAUCGGCUAACUCCGUGCCAGCCGCCGC